AGCGAACGUUUGCGGCGGGCCUAACACAUGCAAGUCGAACGCACUAGCAAUAGUGAGUGGCGCACGGGUGCGUAACACGUGGGUAAUCAACCCUUCAGCCUGGGAUAACGACUCGAAAGGGUCGCUAAUACCGGAUACGGCGCGAGAGGCUUCGGCUUCUCACGAGAAAGCCACGCAAGGGGCACUGAAGGACGAGCCUGCGGCCCAUCAGCUAGUUGGUGAGGUAAGAGCUCACCAAGGCUAAGACGGGUAGCUGGUCUGAGAGGAUGAUCAGCCACACUGGAACUGAGACACGGUCCAGACUCCUACGGGAGGCAGCAGUGGGGAAUAUUGCGCAAUGGGCGAAAGCCUGACGCAGCCACGCCGCGUGAGCGAUGAAGGCCUUCGGUCGUAAGACUCUGUGGGAGGAGACGAAGAAAGACCUGUGAAGAGCAGGCCUUGACGGUAGUCUCCUUAG
rnacentral:rRNA from 1 species